GUAGACAUACCACCCCAACUGCAUCCAAUUUCAAUUGGUCUUAGAGCUAAGUGGGCCAGGGCCUGGCUGGUACUUGGAUUGGAGACCCCUUGGAAUGCCAUGCACUGUAGAUA
rnacentral:rRNA from 1 species